rnacentral:rRNA from 1 species
UACGUAGGGUCCGAGCGUUGUCCGGAAUUAUUGGGCGUAAAGGGCUCGUAGGCGGUUUGUCGCGUCGGGAGUGAAAACACCGGGCUUAACUCGGUGCUUGCUUUCGAUACGGGCAGACUGGAGGUAUGCAGGGGAGAACGGAAUUCCUGGUGUAGCGGUGAAAUGCGCAGAUAUCAGGAGGAACACCGGUGGCGAAGGCGGUUCUCUGGGCCGAUACUGACGCUGAGGAGCGAAAGCGUGGGGAGCGAACAGG